ACGAACGCUGGCGGCGUGCUUAACACAUGCAAGUCAAGGGGUAGCAAUACCACUGGCGCACGGGUGAGUAACGCGUAGGUAAUCUGCCCCUAUCUCUGGCAUAACGUUGGGAAACCGGCGCUAAUAUCAGAUGAGGCGCUUAGGCGUCAAAGGUUUCGGCUGGAUAGGGAUGAGCCUGCGUCUGAUUAGCUUGUUGGCGGGAUAAAAGCCCACCAAGGCUUCGAUCAGUAGCUGGUCUGAGAGGACGAUCAGCCACACUGGAACUGAGACACGGUCCAGACUCCUACGGGAGGCAGCAGUGAGGAAUUUUGGUCAAUGGGGGAAACCCUGAACCAGCGACGCCGCGUGUAGGACGAAUGAGCUUUGCUCUGUAAACUACUGUCGGGAGGGAAGAAAAGCCGGCUCAGCCGGCUGGGACUGUACCUUCAAAGGAAGGAUCGGCUAACUACGU
rnacentral:rRNA from 1 species